ACAAUGGGCGCAAGCCUGAUCCAGCCAUACCGCGUGGGUGAAGAAGGCCUUCGGGUUGUAAAGCCCUUUUGUUGGGAAAGAAAAGCAGUCGGAUAAUACCCGGUUGUUCUGACGGUACCCAAAGAAUAAGCACCGGCUAACUUCGUGCCAGCAGCCGCGGUAAUACGAAGGGUGCAAGCGUUACUCGGAAUUACUGGGCGUAAAGCGUGCGUAGGUGGUUGUUUAAGUCUGUUGUGAAAGCCCUGGGCUCAACCUGGGAAUUGCAGUGGAUACUGGGCGACUAGAGUGUGGUAGAGGGUAGUGGAAUUCCCGGUGUAGCAGUGAAAUGCGUAGAGAUCGGGAGGAACAUCCAUGGCGAAGGCAGCUACCUGGACCAACACUGACACUGAGGCACGAAAGCGUGGGGAGCAAACAGGAUUAGAUACCCUGGUAGUCCACGCCCUAAACGAUGCGAACUGGAUGUUGGGUGCAAUUUGGCACGCAGUAUCGAAGCUAACGCGUUAAGUUCGCCGCCUGGGGAGUACGGUCGCAAGACUGAAACUCAAAGGAAUUGACGGGGGCCCGCACAAGCGGUGGAGUAUGUGGUUUAAUUCGAUGCAACGCGAAGAACCU
rnacentral:rRNA from 1 species